rnacentral:rRNA from 1 species
UACGGAGGAGGCAAGCGUUAUCCGGAAUUAUUGGGCGUAAAGCGUCCGCAGGUGGACAUACAAGUCUGCUGUCAAAGUGCAGAGCUUAACUCUGUAAAGGCGGUGGAAACUGUAGGUCUUGAGUAUGGUAGGGGUAGAGGGAAUUCCCGGUGUAGCGGUGAAAUGCGUAGAUAUCGGGAAGAACACCAGUGGCGAAAGCGCUCUACUGGGCCAUAACUGACACUGAGGGACGAAAGCUAGGGGAGCGAAAGGG